rnacentral:lncRNA from 1 species
CUGCUCCGCCCCGGGGUCCUCUCCUCCCGCCCGCCGGGCCCGCCGCUCCGCUGGAAGGACGGACGGACGGUUUCCAGCCGCCCGCCGCCGAGGCUUCCCGGGAAAAGCCUCUCCCUGUUGGCGGGACUCGGCCUGGGCGGGCGGGGGCAUCCGUCCCCGCGUUGGCGGGAAAGUCCGGCGGGCACGGCCCGGGCGCAGGUAGGACCAGGGCGCAGGGUGGGCGCCGAACGGGCGGAGCGGGUGCACGGUGGGUGGGCAGGUAGGGCCGGGGCAGGGCGACUAAGGUGGGCGCAGGGCGGGGCUCAGGCAAGCGGGGCAGCCACAGCCCCCGACCCACCAGAUCCCGCCCUCUCCCCCUCCAGGACACCCCCCGACCGUCCCUCCCGUCCGGUCCCCACGGACACCGACCUCCCUCCCUUCUGGCCGCUGCCACUGAUCGAUGGAACCACCCGGAGCUGCGAGGGAGUCGACGCGUGAUCGAUAGAUGAUGCCCUGGAUGGAUUACCCAUUGCUUUUGAGCAGCGGUGUCUAGCAAGCAGUAACUAUUGAGGAGAGGCUGUACAAACGGCAGAACUCUUCCUGAGAAACUAAGUUAUGAG